AGCCUACGGGGGGCAGCAGUGGGGAAUAUUGCACAAUGGGGGAAACCCUGAUGCAGCGACGCCGCGUGAGUGAAGAAGUAUUUCGGUAUGUAAAGCUCUAUCAGCAGGGAAGAUAAUGACGGUACCUGACUAAGAAGCCCCGGCUAACUACGUGCCAGCAGCCGCGGUAAUACGAAGGGGGCAAGCGUUAUCCGGAUUUACUGGGUGUAAAGGGAGCGUAGGUGGCGGGGCAGGUCAGAUGUGAAAA
rnacentral:rRNA from 1 species